rnacentral:rRNA from 1 species
GUUUGAUCCUGGCUCAGGAUGAACGCUGGCGGCGUGCCUAAUACAUGCAAGUCGAGCGAACAGACGAGGAGCUUGCUCCUCUGACGUUAGCGGCGGACGGGUGAGUAACACGUGGAUAACCUACCUAUAAGACUGGGAUAACUUCGGGAAACCGGAGCUAAUACCGGAUAAUAUAUUGAACCGCAUGGUUCAAUAGUGAAAGACGGUUUUGCUGUCACUUAUAGAUGGAUCCGCGCCGCAUUAGCUAGUUGGUAAGGUAACGGCUUACCAAGGCAACGAUGCGUAGCCGACCUGAGAGGGUGAUCGGCCACACUGGAACUGAGACACGGUCCAGACUCCUACGGGAGGCAGCAGUAGGGAAUCUUCCGCAAUGGGCGAAAGCCUGACGGAGCAACGCCGCGUGAGUGAUGAAGGUCUUCGGAUCGUAAAACUCUGUUAUUAGGGAAGAACAAAUGUGUAAGUAACUAUGCACAUCUUGACGGUACCUAAUCAGAAAGCCACGGCUAACUACGUGCCAGCAGCCGCGGUAAUACGUAGGUGGCAAGCGUUAUCCGAAAUUAUUGGGCGUAAAGCGCGCGUAGGCGGUUUUUUAAGUCUGAUGUGAAAGCCCACGGCUCAACCGUGGAGGGUCAUUGGAAACUGGAAAACUUGAGUGCAGAAGAGGAAAGUGGAAUUCCAUGUGUAGCGAUGAAAUGCGCAGAGAUAUGGAGGAACACCAGUGGCGAAGCGACUUUCUGGUCUGUAACUGACGCUGAUGUGCGAAAGCGUGGGGAUCAAACAGGAUUAGAUACCCUGGUAGUCCACGCCGUAAACGAUGAGUGCUAAGUGUUAGGGGGUUUCCGCCCCUUAGUGCUGCAGCUAACGCAUUAAGCACUCCGCCUGGGGAGUACGACCGCAAGGUUGAACUCAAAGGAAUUGACGGA